CCUACGGGCGGCAGCAGUGGGGAAUAUUGCACAAUGGGCGCAAGCCUGAUGCAGCCCUGCCGCGUGUGUGAAGAAGGCCUUCGGGUUGUAAAGCACUUUCAGCGGGGAGGAAGGCGGUGAGGUUAAUAACCUCAUCGAUUGACGUUACCCGCAGAAGAAGCACCGGCUAACUCCGUGCCAGCAGCCGCGGUAAUACGGAGGGUGCAAGCGUUAAUCGGAAUUACUGGGCGUAAAGCGCUCGCAGGCGGUCUGUCAAGUCGGAUGUGAAAUCCCCGGGCUCAACCUGGGAACUGCAUUCGAAACUGGCAGGCUAGAGUCUUGUAGAGGGGGGUAGAAUUCCAGGUGUAGCGGUGAAAUGCGUAGAGAUCUGGAGGAAUACCGGUGGCGAAGGCGGCCCCCUGGACAAAGACUGACGCUCAGGUGCGAAAGCGUGGGGAGCAAACAGGAUUAGAUACCCUAGUAGUC
rnacentral:rRNA from 1 species